UCACAACUCUGAGAUCAACUAACUUAGCUGCUUAUAUGUAUUCCACUAUUCACCACAGUUACAGCUUCAGUCUCCUAAACGUUUCACACAAGUAUUACAACCUGAUAGAAACAAACCUGGUAUUACUCUGAAGAGUGUAACCAAAUAUGUAAACAAAAUUACUUUUGUGUGGCAACAACAGACAUAUGAUACGACUGUCAGUGGCAUUAAAGUCCUCAAAUAUUUAAGAAGUAUCCCCAAAAGUUACAAAACUAUCUUUCAAUAAGCCUACUAGAGUCCUUAGGUAAUUAAAAACAGAUCAUACUGGUUGCAUAAUAUCAGGUAAAUAUCUGUGUACUCUUUGUUCUUAGUGGAUUGAGUAGGGUAGAGAAUAGAGAAAGUAUAAUUUUUUU